CAGAAAGGAUGGUCAGCUCAGUCUUGAGUUAAUGGGACACACCCGAUUUCUCCAGCCCCCACAGGGUUCAAGGCAAAAGGCUUCGAAGGGCUGUGAGUAUGUGUGCUGAACACUCCUGUCUUUAAUUCCGAAACUGAAAAAAGGAGUGUGAUAUCACCCUGAAAGCAUCACCCAGUGCCCUGGGCCCUAAGUCACUUGUUGCCCUUGGCAACAGACUGUGUAUCAGGACACAAGACCUAUGCUGCAGACAUUCUUCCUUAUCCAGAGUUCCCUGACAGAACAGAAGGUACGUGCUCAGCAAACAUCUGAAAGAAUAAGUAGAUUUUACCUUUGGGUCACUUGCCGAUGAAAGCCCACCCAAUGCUGGUCCCUAAAGUUCUACAUUAAGAAUUUGCCCCCUGGCAGAACAGGAGACAUUUAGAGAGAAAGAAUAGGAACAGGAGACAAAGUGGAUGUGAAAAAUGUGAAAGCUUGGUGAAAAAGGUCGAGAAUGUUCCAGGGUUCACUGGCCUAUUUUAACGUUUAUGUACAUUGGGGUAUGAAGACAAAGCUUAAAAAAAGAAAUCAUUGCAGAUAUGUUUGGUGGCUACGGUUCUUUACCAGGACCCUCCCCCUAUAAUCAUUUAUUAUAUUUUAGUUUACUCUCUCCACUGGGGAAAUUUGAACAGGACCCGGGUAAGAUAUUAUGGAAUUUUGUUAAAAUUUUUUCCUUAGGCGGGACAACCAUACCGUAGUUAAUGUGAGAAAUCCUCACUUUCAGAAUAUAUGCUAAAGUAAGCUCUUCCUGAAGAUGCUCUUAAUAUACUUAACAGCGGUUUCUGCCACCACUCCCUGCGUUCCAGCUGAGCUGCAUUUCUCACUAUCUGGCCUCAAAGGAUUUCCACACUCCAGGCCUUGCUCAUGCUGGCAUUCCUCAGCUCGAAUGCUCCCCCACCAGUUGCCUGAGGAACUACUAAUCAGCCAUAAUUCCCAUCUCAAAUUCCACCUCUACUAUAAAACCUCCCUCGAUUCUCCUCAGUCUUUCUCUCCUCUGAAUUCCCACAGAGUGCAGACCUCUCAGAUGACUCAUUUCACUUUUUUUUUUUUUUUUUUAAUUAGACUGGAAGCCUCUGGCAGGUGAGAGUACCUCUUACUCAUCUCUAAAUUCCUUCCUGGGUCCAGCCCAGGAUCCUGGACAAAGGAAUUUUUCUGACUCAAGGACUCUGGCAGGCUGAGUUGAGCUCCUUCCCACAUUCCAGGCCAUUCCCACCCUAUCCAAGUGCAUCAGGACCUCCAGGGGGCCAGAGAUGCAGAACCUGAAGCCCCCAGCCGGGACAUUAUUUAUCUAAGGCUUUCGAGUCCAUGCUUUGAAAAGGAGAGAAUCCCAAGCCAGGGGCACAGUGUUGAUGACUGGCUGGAUGAGGACAGAAGGUGAAAGAGGGAGGUAAAACCAAUUGCUGUGUAUUUUUAAAAUAACUACUAUCCAUGAGUUUUUGGUCUUCUGGAUUUUUUUUGUUUUUCCAAAU